rnacentral:rRNA from 1 species
UGCCAGCCGCCGCGGUAAUACAGAGGGUGCGAGCGUUAAUCGGAAUUACUGGGCGUAAAGGGCGCGUAGGUGGAAUUUUAAGUUGGAUGUGAAACACUCGGGCUCAACCUGGGUCUUGUAUUCAAAACUGGGAUUCUAGAGUACAGUAGAGGGAAGCGGAAUUUCCGGUGUAGCGGUGAAAUGCGUAGAUAUCGGAAGGAACAUCAGUGGCGAAGGCGGCUUCCUGGACUGAUACUGACACUGAGGCGCGAAAGCGUGGGGAGCAAACAGGAUUAGAUA